rnacentral:rRNA from 1 species
GCUUUACAUGAUUCCUCCUUCUUGACGAACCGUGAUGUCAUUAAUUUGGUGUUGCGGGAAAUCAGGACUGUUACUUUGAAAAAAUUAGAGUGUUUAAAGCAGGCUAACGCUUGAAUACAUUAGCAUGGAAUAAUGAAAUAGGACGUUAUUCCUAUUUUGUUGGUUUCUAGGAUCGACGUAAUGAUUAAUAGGGAUAGUUGGGGGCAUUAGUAUUCAAUUGUCAGAGGUGAAAUUCUUGGAUUUAUUGAAGACUAACUACGGCGAAAGCAUUUGCCAAGGAUGUUUUCAUUAAUCAAGAACGAAAGUUAGGGGAUCGAAACGAUCAGAUACCGUCGUAGUCUUACCAUAACUAUGCCGACAGGGUCGA